AGAGGUGAAGAAACCUGCUUAGAAAAUCAUAGAUCGUAGUCAAUAUAGGACAAUCUUACUCGGAAUCACACUAGAGUGGCCUGAAACAUGCAAAAGGAGAACUAUAGAUGCGAGCCAACUAGUCUUGGUCCCUUGAGGGCCUUGGAGAUGGCAAGAGUAAUGUGAGAGAAACUACUGGAGGCUUGGGAGGUGGUGAGAAGUCAUCGAAGAUUGCCAUAGAUGAGGUUCAAUAAGGUUUGAUUAGGGUUAGGUUGAGAGCUUUUGAGAGAUGAGAGGAACAGAUGACGACAAUGUAAG
rnacentral:lncRNA from 1 species